GACGAACGCUGGCGGCGUGCUUAACACAUGCAAGUCGAACGGAAAGGCCUGCUUUCCCUUGUGGAUUGCGGGUACUCGAGUGGCGAACGGGGGAGUAACACGUGAGUGAUCUGCCCCCAACUUGGGUAUAAUCCUGGGAAACUGUGUCUAAUUCCCGAUAGGACUGCAGGGUGGUGCCUGUGGUGGAAAACGAUUUUCUAGUGGUUGGGGAUGAGCUCGCGGCCUAUCAGCUUGUUGGUGGGGUAAUGGCCUACCAAGGCGGCGACGGGUAGCCGGCGUGAGAGGGUGGACGGCCAGAUUGGGACUGAGAGCAGGCCCAGACUGCUACGGGAGGCAGCAGUGGGGAAUAUUGCACCACGGGCGGAAGCCUGAUGCAGCGACGCCGGGUGGGGGAUGACGGCCUUCGGGUUGUAAACUCCUUUCGACCGAGAGGAAGCCACAUGGUUGGAAGGGUGGUGACGGUAGUGGUAGAAGAAGCACCGGCUAACUACGUG
rnacentral:rRNA from 1 species